rnacentral:rRNA from 1 species
CAAUAGCGUAUAUUUAAGUUGUUGCAGUUAAAAAGCUCGUAGUUGGAUUUCGGGUAGGAUUUGCCGGUCCGUCUUUGAGAUGUGUACUGGUAAGUCCUAUCUUCUUGUCGGGGACCAGCUCCUGGGCUUCACUGUCCGGGACUGGGAGCCGACGAAGUUACUUUGAGUAAAUUAGAGUGUUCAAAGCAAGCCUACGCUCUGAAUAUAUUAGCAUGGAAUAACACGAUAGGACUCUGGCUUAUCUUGUUGGUCUGUGAGACCAGAGUAAUGAUUAAGAGGGACAGUCGGGGACAUUCGUAUUUCAUUGUCAGAGGUGAGAUUCUUGGAUUUAUGAAAGACGAACUCCUGCGAAAGCAUUUGUCAAGGAUGUUUUCAUUAA